rfam:Pan troglodytes isolate Yerkes chimp pedigree #C0471 (Clint) chromosome X, whole genome shotgun sequence.
GCCAGGUGUGGUGGCACACACCUGUAGUCCCAGCUACUCGGGAGGCUGAGGUGGGAGGAUCGCUGGAGCCCUGGAGUUUGAAGCUGCAGUGAUGGCGCCACUGCACCCCAGCCUGGGCAGCACAGUGAGACCCUGUCUCUU